AUAUCUAUAUAAUAAAGCAGAACGGAUUUUGAAAAUAUCCUAGAGACAUUUGUCCUACUAAGACAUUUGAAUGGUGAAGAUUCAUUUGCCUAUUUACAUGAACGGCUGAGAUUACCCAUUCAAUAUGUGUCAAUCCCCUUCCCGCCCAAACACUAAAGUAACUGCACACCCACGUCUCAUCUCCAGCCUACUCACCCACGUCUCAUCUCCUUCUAUCUUUAUCUUUUCUCUUCUUUGUUCUCACCCAUCCCUCUUUUAUCUCUCUGCUCUCCAGCCCUGUUCUUCUUCUUCUUCUGCUCUCCAGAUCAAGUUCGUGAUCUUGAGACCCGAUUGGGACCCAACAAAUUCCAGAAGCAAUUUCGCUCGCUGGGUCGACUUCGCGAUCGCAAGUAAACAACUCGAUACGCUACGGUACAGAAGAGUUUGAUCGCAAGGUAAAAUUCUCUUUUUGGGGUUUUCUGAACCAAGCUUUGAUGGGUCAGAGGAUUCGAAAUGGAGGUUUCUCUGGGCUGAUUCAUAUGGAUUUGGAGGUCUGAAUCUGGGUUUACAGAGUGGGUUCAAUGUAGAAGAGCUCUCUUCAAUCCCAAACUUAAGGUCUUAUAAUUAUUACUCUGAUGAUCAACACUGUGGUCUCUGCCACAAGAAGAAGCGCGUUAAUGGCGAAAACUUCGGGUUAUCUCCUCCGAUCAAUGGCUGUGAUUUUCUAGGAUUGAAUCUACGAAACAAGCGAAUUGUCGACGGAGAGAAUCAAGAUCUUAGCAUGGGAGCUCUGGGUUAUGGCGGUGGCAAUGUUGAUCAGGUGAAGAAGGAGCCUUAAGCAGGGCAGAUGUAUCUCAUAGAUGAAAGAGAUAUCUCAAAGAUGAAAGAGAAUGAGUGGUGGAAGAUGGAGGAGAGAGAAUAAGUGGGGAAUUGAUGGACAAGGUGUGGGUUUUGUGUUUCUAACCAUUAAAUUGAUUUUUAAUUUUUUUUAAUUUUUUUAUGUGUGUGUUCUUUUUUUUUUAAAUAGAUUUUUAUUUUUUUUUAAUUUUUAUGUAGUUUAUGGAUUUGGAUUUAAUUUUUUAAAAUGUUUUAGGUUUAAAAUAAUAGUUGAUCUUUAUAAAAUGGGUUUCGAUUUUAGAAAUA